rnacentral:rRNA from 1 species
AACGAACGCUGGCGGCAGGCUUAACACAUGCAGGUCGAGCGCCCCGCAAGGGGAGCGGCAGACGGGUGAGUAACGCGUGGGAACGUACCCUUUGCUACGGAAUAGCUCCGGGAAACUGGAACUAAUACCGUAUGUGCCCUACGGGGGAAAGAUUUAUCGGCAAAGGAUCGGCCCGCGUUGGAUUAGCUAGUUGGUGGGGUAAUGGCCUACCAAGGCGACGAUCCAUAGCUGGUCUGAGAGGAUGAUCAGCCACAUUGGGACUGAGACACGGCCCAAACUCCUACGGGAGGCAGCAGUGGGGAAUAUUGGACAAUGGGCGCAAGCCUGAUCCAGCCAUGCCGCGUGAGUGAUGAAGGCCUUAGGGUUGUAAAGCUCUUUCACCGGAGAAGAUAAUGACGGUAUCCGGAGAAGAAGCCCCGGCUAACUUCGUGCCAGCAGCCGCCGUAAGAC